GUACUCGCUUCGACAGCACAUAUACUAAAAUUGGUGUGAUACGGGUUAGAUUAAGAUGGCCCCUGCACAAGGAUGACACACAAAUUCAUGAAGUAUUCCAUAUUUUU